GGAGCUUGCUCUUUCCGGAUGAGUUGCGAACGGGUGAGUAACGCGUAGGUAACCUGCCUGGUAGCGGGGGAUAACUAUUGGAAACGAUAGCUAAUACCGCAUAACAGUUGGUGUUGCAUGACACAAGCUUGAAAGGGGCAAUUGCUCCACUACCAGAUGGACCUGCGUUGUAUUAGCUAGUUGGUGAGGUAACGGCUCACCAAGGCGACGAUACAUAGCCGACCUGAGAGGGUGAUCGGCCACACUGGGACUGAGACACGGCCCAGACUCCUACGGGAGGCAGCAGUAGGGAAUCUUCGGCAAUGGGGGCAACCCUGACCGAGCAACGCCGCGUGAGUGAAGAAGGUUUUCGGAUCGUAAAGCUCUGUUGUAAGAGAAGAACGAGUGUGAGAGUGGAAAGUUCACACUGUGACGGUAUCUUACCAGAAAGGGACGGCUAACUACGUGCCAGCAGCCGCGGUAAUACGUAGGUCCCAAGCGUUGUCCGGAUUUAUUGGGCGUAAAGCGAGCGCAGGCGGUUAGAUAAGUCUGGAGUAAAAGGCUAUGGCUCAACCAUAGUGUGCUCUGGAAACUGUUUAACUUGAGUGCAAGAGGGGAGAGUGGAAUUCCAUGUGUAGCGGUGAAAUGCGUAGAUAUAUGGAGGAACACCGGUGGCGAAAGCGGCUCUCUGGCUUGUAACUGACGCUGAGGCUCGAAAGCGUGGGGAGCAAACAGGAUUAGAUACCCUGGUAGUCCACGCCGUAAACGAUGAGUGCUAGGUGUUGGGUCCUUUCCGGGACUCAGUGCCGCAGCUAACGCAUUAAGCACUCCGCCUGGGGAGUACGACCGCAAGGUUGAAACUCAAAGGAAUUGACGGGGGCCCGCACAAGCGGUGGA
rnacentral:rRNA from 1 species